AGUGAACGCUGGCGGUAGGCCUAACACAUGCAAGUCGAACGGCAGCACAGUAAGAGCUUGCUCUUACGGGUGGCGAGUGGCGGACGGGUGAGGAAUACAUCGGAAUCUACUUUUUCGUGGGGGGUAACGUAGGGAAACUUACGCUAAUACCGCAUACGACCUACGGGUGAAAGCAGGGGAUCUUCGGACCUUGCGCGAUUGAAUGAGCCGAUGUGGGAUUAGCUAGUUGGCGGGGGAAAGGCCCACCAAGGCGACGAUCCGUAGCUGGUCUGAGAGGCUGAUCAGCCACCUUGGAACUGAGACACGGUCCAUACUCCUACGGGAGGCAGCAGUGUGGAAUAUUGGACAAUGGGGGCAAGCCUGAUCCAACCAUACCGCGUGGGUGAAGAAGGCCUUCGGGUCGGAAAGCCCUUUUGUUGGGAAAGAAAAGCAGCAGGUUAAUACCCCGCUGUUCUGACGGUACCCAAAGAAUAAGCACCGGCUAACUUCGUG
rnacentral:rRNA from 1 species